GACGAACCGUACGAACGUUAUUCGGAAUCACUGGGCUUAAAGGGUGCGUAGGCGGCGCAGUAAGUUGGGUGUGAAAUCCCUCGGCUUAACCGAGGAAUUGCGCCCAAAACUACUGUGCUCGAGGGAGGUAGAGGUGAGCGGAACUUAGGGUGGAGCGGUGAAAUGCGUUGAUAUCCUAAGGAACACCGGUGGCGAAAGCGGCUCACUGGACCUCUUCUGACGCUGAGGCACGAAAGCUAGGGUAGCAAACGGG
rnacentral:rRNA from 1 species